rnacentral:tRNA from 1 species
GCCCGGCUAGCUCAGGCGGUAGAGCAUGAGACUCUAAAUUUCAGGGUUGUGGGUUCGAGCCCCACGUUGGGCG